UCAAAAUUCAUAGGCCACUCUCACUAUAAAAAAUUCUAAGAGAUCUCAGCAGCGCCCUUUUAGGAAGCUCCCUCCAUAGGAUCGCACUCUAACGAUGUUUCCAAUGUUUCCCCUCGACUUAUUUGUUUUUUAACACAAGACGAGAUUAUUGACAUUAUUUGAGGUUUUAUUCUUAGAUGUGGGGUUGUUCAUCCAUUCGUAAAGAGGAAGGCACAAUUAAUUUUAAGCAAGUUUGCAGGAAUUUUUUUCCAAAUUAUGGUAUCACCUCUGCUUUCCGUAAGAUCCAGUUUGACGGUACAACACUAUCUUUGAUGUAUUAAAAAACCCUCGGUGGCUCGUUCAGAUGGGGUGGUUUGUAACUUUUUUAGAAAACUUGAGAAAUGUUAUUGUAAGAUUUUGAUUUAUGAAAUAUGAUAUAGUUUCUUAAACGGCCCUAAAUCUGACUACGAUAUUUGCCUGCCAGUUUAUACCGAACUUGAACUUUCAGAAUGGGUUAAUUGACAUGCUUUUAGAUAGAUUAGGGAAUGGAUGCCUUCUGAAACCCUUCAUAUUUGAUUAAUUGAUUUAGUGGAUGCUUCAGGCAAAGAAGGAAGCGUAAAUUUUAGGCAGGUUUAGAGUGAUUCAUCUUAAAAAGAUCAAGUCAGAAAACUAGCGUGCAAGUGGACAAUCAUUACUUUGUUGUAAGGAGCAGUAGUGAAUAGUUGUUAGGCUAGACAACUUGCAUUCUGACAAGAGGAAAUAGCUGAAGAGAAUUCAAGGUUCCGCAAAUAUAUAUUAACUAUUAAGAGAGUUCCUGAGAAUUUUUUUAUAGAAAAAGGUUCUUGUUCCACAUUUGUGGCCAGUCAUCAUAGGAAAUAUUGUUUGACAUGGAAACAAUAUUGUUUUCUCUAUCAAGAACUAUGCAAGAUGAAGUCAGCGCCCACUUUGUGGAGAGGAGGCUGGGAGAUCCUGUUGAGCUUUUACUGUUUGCAUGCCUGGGUUAAUUCCUCCUCUGAUAUGGUGUAGUCAUUAGAUAAUUGGGUUUCCUUUCCUUGAGCAAGUGGUGUAUAGGCCCUUUUUAACUAUCUGUUGACGGCUGAGUUUUCCACUAACACAUCCUCAUAAAUGUGAGUUAGCAUUUUGACCCCGAGCCUGAUGAGCUUGAGACAGAUGGUUGACCUAUUAGUCGAGUUUCUGUAGCUCAACAAUAUGGAUAGGGGACACAUUCUGAGGUUUUGGAGCAUUGCAGGGGCUUUGUAAGCAGUUUUGAGCAAUUUAUGACAGUUUCCUAGAUUUGAAUUUGGAGUAACUAAGAGAGAUAGUUCCCAUUAUUCACAGUGAAGACUGAAAAGUAUCAAGAUGACACAAAAAAAAGGGUAACAAGGGCUCCAAGAGGAUGCACUUGAAGGCAAAUGUCAUAUACGUGUUGCUUUGGGGUUAGUCCCGAACAAAAGUUCAAAUAUUCAAUCAAACUCUGCUAAGAGGAAAUAACAUUCUCCGAGUAUCUGAAAUCAAUGAAUACCAAUCAUCUAACAGCACUAAAGAGAUACUUUUAGUCUAGUAACAAGAAAAAGUUGAAGAAGAGAAAGGAAAAGAAUGUCAAAGUUGUGGCUUUAUAAGACUCUGGGGACUAAAAUAUGCAGGUUGCAUUACGGAGGAGUAAUUUCAGAGGUAGUGGAAUGUACUUGUGGCUGUGGCGAGUGCUGGAUAUUCAUAUAUUUCAAUUACAUUACUGUGAAAGAAUAUACAGGAUAAAUUUGAAAGAGCAACUUCAAGUUCUAUUCCAAAAAUGGUAUAGACACGCAUUUGAAAAUGUGCACGCUAGGCAUAUUUUUAAUUAAGAUACUGGUAAUGACUGUUGGAACUUACUCUUGUUUCCAGUGCCAACUUUUUUUAUCAAUGUAAUGAUUACUGUUGAUUAAGAAAUUGAGA